GGAUCUGAGGGUGAUCUGGCUGGGACCUCUGUCACCCCACUGAUCACCGGGGCUGAUUCAGCUGAUCUGGCUAUGUAGACGGGUGCCCGCUUCCUCCCUCACCAUUCCAUGUGUGUCCCUCCAGAAGCUGCAUGCUCCAUCAAAGAGGAUGACCUUCCCCAAUAAAAGAGGACGCUCUUGGGGCCAAAAGCUACACUUUUCUGCUAGAACCUCCAAACAAGUUCUCAAGGUGCAUUUAUAGGAGUAUUAGGGCAGUCAAGCUUCCAGGACUCAUAUCUUCCUUGGGA
ensembl:misc_RNA 7SK 7SK RNA